rnacentral:misc_RNA from 1 species
CUCAAGCAUCGUCUUGCUGCUGGUGCAAAGUUGCCCAAUAUAACCAUUUUAUUGCCUAUAGAAAUGACAAAAGUCAAGAUUCUUGAAGGGGAAAAAAUGAUCAACCUUGCGGGAAGGCUUGGCCAGGAGGUUGCAUCUCUAUUGAGAAGGCUAGGGUUGCCUUACCAAGGGAAUGAAUCAUAUGGGAAGAUCAGAAUCAAUGGGAUUUCCAUAAGAAGAUGGUUUCAACCAAAGCUUUCUUCUCCUUUCAGUAGAAAACCGGGAGAGUUGAGCUCAUCCCAGUCCAGAAUAGGGAAAGGGAUCAUUCACCAGCAGCGUAAUAUUCGAACCGGCAAUUUAUCUUUGGAAUAAGAGUAAGCAUAUUUAUUGCUGCUGAUAGGGAAAC